GACGAACGCUGGCGGCGUGCCUAACACAUGCAAGUUGAGCGACGAACCAGGGCUUGCCCUGGGGCAAAGCAGCGAACGGGUGAGUAACACGUGGGUAACCUGCCCCGAUAACCGGGACAACCCGAGGAAACUCGGGCUAAUACCGGAUGUGCUGGCUGAACAUCAGUUCAGUUAGUAAAGGUAGCUUCGGCUUCCGUAUCGGGAGGGGCCCGCGUUCCAUUAGCUAGUUGGUGAGGUAACGGCUCACCAAGGCCGCGAUGGAUAGCUGGUCUGAGAGGACGAUCAGCCACACUGGGACUGAGACACGGCCCAGACUCCUACGGGUGGCAG
rnacentral:rRNA from 1 species